ACAAAGUGUAAUGGAGGAGCUGUCCUACAUUGGAGAGGCGUGCGGUUGAUUAAACAAUGUGCUGAGGUGCCGUUAAACAAACAUUCGUUUUCUUCAAUAUUUGUCGUUUCAGCCAGUGCACCACGACUGGUAUAUCAAACGCCGUGGUAUGUGCUAUCCUGUAUGUGGGAUGGUGCAUAUAAAAGACCCCUUGCUAUUAAUGAAAAGUUUCCUGCCAUGGACGGAGGAGACGGCAGAAGUCGACACCUGCACCCAUGCCAGGCGUGCGCUACAAUAGCAUGCUCUGAAUGUGCAUGUAAAACCUUAGAUGACCUGAACUGACCUAAUGAAAAAAUGUAGCGGGUUUCCUCUAUAAGACUAUAUGUCAAAACUACCAAAUGUUUGACAUUCAAUAGCCGAUAGAUGAUUAAUAAAUCAAUGUGCUCUAGUGGUGUCGUUAAAUAAACAUUCCUCUUCUUUACUAUUUGAGUAUAUGCGCUAGUAAGCACAUCUAUCUUUCGUAGUUCUACUAAACGACCCCGCGCCAGUAGCUGUUGUCUGCCUCCGGAGCGCGCGCGCUAUGCCGUCUGGUCGCGUUAUGAGACGAAACCUGCCUCUCACCUGUAAUCAUAAAGGGCGAAUCAUAUUCAGCGACUGGCAAUGGAUUUUCACAUGAUAGUCAAGUCAAUGGAUGACAUUUUCCUUGGGAUGAAAAGCCACUGUACCGGAGCAGACGACGUAUAGCCGACGUAUAGCCGACGAUGGCCACGUACCUAUAUAUAACACGACCUACACAUGAAAGGAAGAUGUCGGUGAAAAAACUUCACAUCCUAAUGUUGAUUUUUCUUUUCCUAGUGCAGAAUAGGUCGUUAAACUUAUGCUGGGCUUAGAGUGAAUAUUUCUGUGUUAACCGAAAUAUUUAGACUGUUGUUAUAUAGGUGUGAAAAACAUGUUUCCGGAACCAUAAGCCUAAUUAUUUAGAAAAAAAAGAAAAAAAGUGCCGACCUUUUUUGUUUUAGUUUUUUCUUCAGUGUAGGCCUAUUAUUAUUUUUAUUUUAUAUUUUGUAAACUAUUAUUAUUA